rnacentral:rRNA from 1 species
GCAGUCGAGCGGACAGAUGGGAGCUUGCUCCCUGAUGUUAGCGGCGGACGGGUGAGUAACACGUGGGUAACCUGCCUGUAAGACUGGGAUAACUCCGGGAAACCGGGGCUAAUACCGGAUGCUUGAUUGAACCGCAUGGUUCAAUUAUAAAAGGUGGCUUUUAGCUACCACUUACAGAUGGACCCGCGGCGCAUUAGCUAGUUGGUGAGGUAACGGCUCACCAAGGCAACGAUGCGUAGCCAACCUGAGAGGGUGAUCGGCCACACUGGGACUGAGACACGGCCCAAACUCCUACGGGAGGCAGCAGUAGGGAAUCUUCCGCAAUGGACGAAAGUCUGACGGAGCAACGCCGCGUGAGUGAUGAAGGUUUUCGGAUCGUAAAACUCUGUUGUUAGGGAAGAACAAGUACCGUUCGAAUAGGGCGGUACCUUGACGGUACCUAACCAGAAAGCCACGGCUAACUACGUGCCAGCAGCCGCGGUAAUACGUAGGUGGCAAGCGUUGUCCGGAAUUAUUGGGCGUAAAGCGCGCGCAGGCGGUUUCUUAAGUCUGAUGUGAAAGCCCCCGGCUCAACCGGGGAGGGUCAUUGGAAACUGGGGAACUUGAGUGCAGAAGAGGAGAGUGGAAUUCCACGUGUAGCGGUGAAAUGCGUAGAGAUGUGGAGGAACACCAGUGGCGAAGGCGACUCUCUGGUCUGUAACUGACGCUGAGGCGCGAAAGCGUGGGGAGCGAACAGGAUUAGAUACCCUGGUAGUCCACGCCGUAACGAUGAGUGCUAAGUGUUAGAGGGUUUCCGCCCUUUAGUGCUGCAGCAAACGCAUUAAGCACUCCGCCUGGGGGAGUACGGUCGCAAGACUGAACUCAAGGAAUUGACGGGGGCCCGCAC